rnacentral:rRNA from 1 species
UACGUAGGGGGCAAGCGUUGUCCGGAAUCACUGGGUGUAAAGGGCGUGUAGGCGACCCUUUAAGUUGAAUGUGAAAUCUCUCGGCUCAACUGAGAGCGGUCAUUCAAUACUGGAGGGAUACGAGGACGGAAGAGGGAAGUGGAAUUCUCGGUGUAGCGGUAAAAUGCGUAGAUAUCGAGAGGAACACCGGUGGCGAAGGCGGCUUCCUGGUCCGUUCCUGACGCUGAGGCGCGAAAGCUUGGGUAGCAAACGGG